rfam:Beta vulgaris subsp. vulgaris chromosome 7, whole genome shotgun sequence.
AGACAUGGUGCGGACAAGAUCUUCGAAUAUCCUUGAACCUAUCCCAACCUCCAUAUAAUGUCUCAUCCUCCUCUUGAGAGAAAUUGGACAUUUUCCUCCUAGCUU